GACGUAGGGGGCGAGCGUUGUCCGGAUUUAUUGGGCGUAAAGCGCGCGUAGGCGGCCGCGCAAGUCGGAUGUGAAAACCCGGGGCUCGAACCCCGGGCGCUGGCAUUCGUAUACUGCGCGGCGUCGAGACAGGUAGGGGAGAUCGGAAUUCCUGGUGUAGCGGUGAAAUGCGCAGAUAUCAGGAGGAACACCGGUGGCGAAGGCGGAUCUCUGGGCCUGUUCUGACGCUGAGGCGCGAAAGCUAGGGGAGCGAACAGG
rnacentral:rRNA from 1 species